UACGGAGGGGCGAGCGUUGUCCGAAGUUACUGGGCGUAAAGCGCGUGUAGGCGGGUUGCCAAGUCCGCUGUGAAAGCCCGAGGCUCAACCUCGGAGGGUCGGUGGAUACUGGCAGUCUUGAAGGUGCUAGGGGGAGAUGGAAUUACCGGUGUAGCGGUGAAAUGCGCAGAUAUCAGGAGGAACACCGGUGGCGAAGGCGGGUCUCUGGGCAGUAACUGACGCUGAGGAGCGAAAGCGUGGGAGCGAACAGG
rnacentral:rRNA from 1 species